rnacentral:rRNA from 1 species
AACGAACGCUGGCGGCAGGCCUAACACAUGCAAGUCGAGCGAGGACUUCGGUUCUAGCGGCGGACGGGUGAGUAACGCGUGGGAAUGUGCCCUUCUCUACGGAAUAGCCCUGGGAAACUGGGAGUAAUACCGUAUACGCCCUUUUGGGGAAAGAUUUAUCGGAGAAGGAUCAGCCCGCGUUAGAUUAGGUAGUUGGUGGGGUAAUGGCCUACCAAGCCGACGAUCCAUAGCUGGUUUGAGAGGAUGAUCAGCCACACUGGGACUGAGACACGGCCCAGACUCCUACGGGAGGCAGCAGUGGGGAAUCUUAGACAAUGGGGGCAACCCUGAUCUAGCCAUGCCGCGUGAGUGAUGAAGGCCUUAGGGUUGUAAAGCUCUUUCAGCUGGGAAGAUAAUGACGGUACCAGCAGAAGAAGCCCCGGCUAACUCCGUG